UAUGGCAGAAUAGUGCAUUGGAUUUAAACCCCAAAAAUAAAGAAACCUUUUAUUAAAA
rnacentral:tRNA from 1 species